rnacentral:rRNA from 1 species
UACGAAGGGAGCUAGCGUUGUUCGGAAUUACUGGGCGUAAAGGGCGCGUAGGCGGACAUUUAAGUCAGGGGUGAAAUGCCAAGGCUCAACCUUGGAACUGCCUUUGAUACUGAAUGUCUCGAGUUCGGGAGAGGUGAGUGGAAUUCCGAGUGUAGAGGUGAAAUUCGUAGAUAUUCGGAGGAACACCAGAAGCGAAGGCGGCUCACUGGCCCGAUACUGACGCUGAGGCGCGAAAGCGUGGGGAGCAAACAGG